UAAGUAAAUCGGGUGGUCGCUCGUCCCUAAGCGGAUGAGAGGAAAGUCCGAGCUCCUUCGGGUAGGAUGCUGGAUAACGUCCAGAGGGGGUAACCCUAUGGCUAGUGCCACAGAAACAUACCGCCAGCGGCCGGUAGAUUAUCGGUGCGGGUAAGGGUGAAAUGGCGAGGUAAGAGCUCACCGGCGGCGUGGAGACUCGUCGGCCGUGUAAACCCCAUCCGGAGCAAGGCUGAAUAGGGGGGCAUAAGAUAUCCGAUCUGCCCCCGGGUUAGCCGCAUGACCCCGGCGGUAACGUCGGGGCUAGAUAGAUGGUCACCGCUCCCUUUUAGGGAGUACAGAACUCGGCUUAUAGAUUUACUUGACCC
rnacentral:RNase_P_RNA from 1 species